AGAGUUUGAUCAUGGCUCAGAUUGAACGCUGGCGGCAUGCCUUACACAUGCAAGUCGAACGGUAACGCGGGGGCAACCCUGGCGACGAGUGGCGAACGGGUGAGUAGCGCAUCGGAACGUGCCCAGUAGUGGGGGAUAGCUCGGCGAAAGCCGGAUUAAUACCGCAUACGACCCAUGGGUGAAAGCGGGGGACCGCAAGGCCUCGCGCUAUUGGAGCGGCCGAUGCCCGAUUAGCUAGUUGGUGAGGUAAAGGCUCACCAAGGCAACGAUCGGUAGCUGGUCUGAGAGGACGACCAGCCACACUGGGACUGAGACACGGCCCAGACUCCUACGGGAGGCAGCAGUGGGGAAUUUUGGACAAUGGGGGAAACCCUGAUCCAGCCAUGCCGCGUGCGGGAAGAAGGCCUUCGGGUUGUAAACCGCUUUUGGCAGGAACGAAACGGCGCGCGCUAAUACCGCGCGCUAAUGACGGUACCUGCAGAAUAAGCACCGGCUAACUACGUGCCAGCAGCCGCGGUAAUACGUAGGGUGCAAGCGUUAAUCGGAAUUACUGGGCGUAAAGCGUACGCAGGCGGCUGUGCAAGACAGAUGUGAAAUCCCCGGGCCCAACCUGGGAACUGCAUUUGUGACUGCAUGGCUAGAGUCCGUAAGAGGGGGGUGGAAUUCCACGUGUAGCAGUGAAAUGCGUAGAGAUGUGGAGGAACACCGAUGGCGAAGGC
rnacentral:rRNA from 1 species